rnacentral:rRNA from 1 species
GAGAGACAGGGCCCACCUUAAAAAGGCGCCCUAACAGUUAACAGAUGAUACAGUCUUAAUCUGAAAACUAGUAAUUAAANCUUACCCUAGACCAGGGCUU